AAGCCAGCUGACGACUCUGCUUGCCUGAAUGUGUUACUGCAGAGAUUUUAAAAGCUGGCCAUAGCUGAAGCCAUCUUAUGAGCCUUAAGGGCACUGAAAUCAUUAAGGUUCCUGAAAAUGGCUACAAUA
rnacentral:snoRNA from 1 species